GCGAACGCUGGCGGCGUGCCUAACACAUGCAAGUCGAACGUGAAAAGGGAAACCUGAGUAAAGUGGCGUACGGGUGAGUAACGCGUAGGUAAUCUACCCCAGAAUCUGGAAUAACCUGCCGAAAGGCGGGCUAAUACUGGAUAGAGCGAGGGAACUCGUAAGAGAGUUUUUCGGGAAAGGGAGCCCGCAAGGGCCUUCGUUCUGGGAUGAGCCUGCGUCUCAUUAGCUAGUUGGUAAGGUAACGGCUUACCAAGGCGAUGAUGAGUAGCUGGUCUGAGAGGAUGAUCAGCCACACUGGAACUGAAACACGGUCCAGACUCCUACGGGAGGCAGCAGUGGGGAAUCUUGCGCAAUGGACGAAAGUCUGACGCAGCCACGCCGCGUGAGUGAAGAAGGCCUUCGGGUUGUAAAGCUCUGUCGGAUGGGACGAACAUCUUCAUAGUGAAUAGCUAUGAGGACUGACGGUACCAUCAAAGGAAGCACCGGCUAACUCCGUG
rnacentral:rRNA from 1 species